CUUGGCUUUGGUGCGACUGUGCGUUUAAGUAAACAGAGUUCUUUGUUGUUCUGCACGCUAACGGGCAUAUGCACACUACAGGAAUCCGGACCUUGUCAACACUACAGGACCAUAACAUGUCUGUCUUAAUUAGACCUGAUUAGUUCUGGGCCCAGCUCACAUUGUGGACCCUGACUCUGCUCUAAGCUGCUCAUCUGUUUGACAGCUGCUGGGAUGGAAGAACCAUAUUCAUCAUGUUGCAAGUACUUUCCUCAUGCUUCAUCAGAUCCUGAAAAUGAUCUUGACUUCCACCCUUGUGCUGCUUCAGACCAUGCCUACUCAGCUGAGCACUUUCCUGUUCCUUAUCUUGUCA